GGAGAGGGGCAAGAGUCCUGGAGGCCCGGCGGGGAGCGGGGCGAUUUCGAAAGGAAGGACUGCAGCGCCCCUCGGGGCUUCUCGGGGAGCCCAGAGAAAGCACAUUGGCUGGUCCAGUAAUACGUCUGGCAUGUGGUGCCAGGUGCCAUUGAAGCUGAGGAGAUUCCAAUGUAUGCAAGCAUGUUUGAUGAAUCAGGGGCUGAUGACUAUCGGAAAACUGUGGCGUAAUGGAAGAUCCCCAGAAGGAGAAUUUACAGCUACUUCAAGUGGAAUCUGGCACAAUGAACAGACUGGCCACAGGAGCUGAAGACUGGAGGAGAGUGACACUUCUAACUAAUAGCAUCUAAAACAUCCCAGAUGAGCUACUUCAAGAGUGUUUGUGAACAUCUUGAAACAAAGGCCUAUCUUGUAAACAAACAGAGCUGUCCCACUAAACUCUCCUGGCCUAGGGCCUCUUCUGGGAGCAUUCAGAGAAAGCAGGACUUAGAGGAUAGGGAGUUAAACUUCCUGCCCUGGUUCAGAUCUGCAACUGAGCAGUGAAUGACUCAGCACCAGGAGAAGGCAUCUGUGGGCCUGAAUGCUGGCAGCCAGGAAUAAGUGCAAAGGCUGUGCCAGUGAUGGCCAGAGUGGACGGGACAUGGCAGUGGAGGCUGGAGUCAUAGUCCACAAUUUACCCUCAGCAUCUGAGAGAUACCCCUAGGGAAUCCCGGAGCUGUGGAACAAGGAGGAAAUUAUGUGAGAGAUGGGGAGGGGACCAAUGCCACUCAGUUUCACAGAGAGGGGUUAUCAGGCAAAAGAAUAUAGGGUAGUUCUUCUGAAUCUCGCACACAUUGGAAUCACUUGGGAACUGAUUCCUGGAUCUUAGCUCUAACAAUUCUGAUUUAAUUGGUCUGGGUGCAUUUGAGCAUUUUGGGAAGUUUUUAGUUUCCCAGGAAAUUCUAAUGUUCAGUCAACGUUGAGAACCAUUGAUCUAAGCCUAGGGCUCUCCAACUUAAACUUACAUCGGAGUCACUUGGAGGGCUUGGUAAGCAGUAAAUUACUGAUUCCAUCCCUAGAGUUUCUGAUUCUGUAGGUCUGGAGUGAGGCAUGAGAAUCUGUAUUUCUGUGAAGCUCCCAGAUGAUGCUGAUGCUGAAGGUCUGUGGAACACAUUCUGAAUGGUACUGACUUGGGUUAAGUAUUUAUUGAGAUGACAUUUGUACCCACCAUGUGGGGUGGGUGCUGGGGACAUUUGGAUCAUGGAAACAGUAUAGAGCAGGACCCAACACAUAGGCUUAUUAACAGCCUGAGCCUCAUGCUGCCUCUGCUGCAUUCCAGCUACAUGAACUUGAAUAAUUUACUCAAACUUUCUAGACCUAAUUUCCCCAUGAGUAAAACAAGAACAUUAUGGCAGCUACUCACAAGUUGGUCGCAAUAUUUUUUUUGUUUUGUUUUGAGGCUGGAGUGCAGUGAUGCAAUCUCCACUCACUGCAACCUCCACCUUCCAGGUUCAAGCGAUUCUUGUGCCUCAGACUCCUGAGUAGAUGGGAUUACAGGUGUGCACCACCAUGCCCAGCUAAUUUUUGUACUUUUAGUAGAGAUGGGUUUUCACUAUGUUGGCCAGGCUGGUCUCCAACUCCUGGCCUCAAGUGAUCCACCCACCUCAGCCUCCCAAAGUGCUGGGAUUACAGGCGUGAGCCACCAUGCCUAGCAAAUACUUAAUAUUUUAAAAGUGCUUUUAUCACUGAUAAACACACUACAUACAUUAUAAUAAUUUAAUCCCCAGCUAACCCUGUGAAGUAUUAUUUCUCCUGUUUCACAGAUGAGGAAGCUGGGAAGUUGGGUUAAGUAACUUGCCUUAGUCACACAGGUAGUUAGGAUUGGCUUAGAAUCUGAACCCAGGCAAUCUGAAUCCAAAGCCCAUAUACUUCACUAUUAUACUAUACUAGUGCAACAAAUAUGAGCUACUAUGGAUAGUGAUUAUAUUAAGAAUUAAAUGUAAUGAAAUUCUUAAAACUCCAGUUCAUUGUUUUCAUGAAACACAAAUAGAACACAGUAGAUAUGAGGAAUUGCUAUAAUUAAAUCUAAACUCAGUUCUCUAAACCAGUGUUUCUCCAAGUGUGUCUUGAGAUUACCUACAAAGAAAUCAUUUGGAAACUCCCUACCUCAAAUCUUUGGAACCACAAUCUCUUGGGGGCAGAGCUACAGAAUCUGAGAUUUUAAAUAAGUUCCCAAGGAGAGCUGGUUUCCCAGCUGUAGUCUGAGUCACAUGCCUAUAAAUUAAACAUAUUUAGUAAUCAUUCUUUUCGUAUUUCUCAGACUGAUCUAGUGUUUUUCUCAAUGUUAUUUUUUAUGAAUUUAGAAUACACUAUUUUGAGUAGCUCAAGUAGAAUUGUCUACAGUUUGAGAAAAUAAAACCUAUCCUUUAAGCUUUCGUAAGUAGGCAAAUAAAAUAAUAAUCUGGCUUAAAAUCAAAAUCAUUAUGAUAUGUGGUGGUGAGGGAAGAGAGAGACCCUCUCAUAUUGUUUUAUAUUGUUUUAUACUCAGAAAAGGAAAGAAAAGCAAAACUAAAGGCAGGUAGCCUGGUGCCUAGGAACCAGACCCGAAACCAGGCCUGGGCCUGCCUGACCUAAGCCUGGUAGUUAAAAUUAGACCCCUGAUCUAGCAACUGAUGUUAUCUAUAGAUUCCAGACAUUGUAUGGAAGGACACUGUGAAACCUCCUGUUCUGUUCUGUUUCACUCGGACCACUGGUGCUUGCAGCCCCUGUCACAUACCCCCUGGCUUGCUCAAUCGAUCACGACUGUCUCAUGCGGACCCCCUUAGAGUUGUGAGCCCUUAAAAGGGACAGAAGUUCAGCAUCUGACGAGCUCGGAUUUUAAGACACUAGCCUGCCGAUGCUCCCAGCUGAUUAAAGCCACUCCCUUCCCUAUCUCGGUGUCUGAGGGGUUUUGUCUGUGGCUUGUACUGCUACAGUGGCUCAAGAACCCAACUGGACAAAUAAAAUAAGCAAACAAUUUCAUUUUAGAGAUAAAAUUAAAUUAUAGCUGUAUCUCUGACCUUCCUGUUGUACUUCCUCAGUUUAAACAGCUGAGUAAUUAAGACUUUUUAAAUGUAGAAUUUACUGAC
rnacentral:lncRNA from 1 species